UCCGCCCGCUGGCGGCGUGCUUAACACAUGCAAGUCGAACGGAAAGGCCCUGCUUUUGUGGGGUGCUCGAGUGGCGAACGGGUGAGUAACACGUGAGUAACCUGCCCUUGACUUUGGGAUAACUUCAGGAAACUGGGGCUAAUACCGGAUAGGAGCUCCUGCUGCAUGGUGGGGGUUGGAAAGUUUCGGCGGUUGGGAAUGGACUCGCGGCUUAUCAGCUUGUUGGUGGGGUAGUGGCUUACCAAGGCUUUGACGGGUAGCCGGCCUGAGAGGGUGACCGGCCACAUUGGGACUGAGAUACGGCCCAGACUCCUACGGGAGGCAGCAGUGGGGAAUAUUGCACAAUGGGCGGAAGCCUGAUGCAGCAACGCCGCGUGCGGGAUGACGGCCUUCGGGUUGUAAACCGCUUUCGCCUGUGACGAAGCGUGAGUGACGGUAAUGGGUAAAGAAGCACCGGCUAACUACGUG
rnacentral:rRNA from 1 species